CCAAUCCCUUUCAACCCCUCGCCAAGCUUGGCAGGGAACGCCUCCGCCGCUACCUUAUCCAAUCAGGACCUCCAAACCAUGGCCCUCCAACUACAAAACACCACCCACUGGUUGGGGCAGAUAAUGCAGCAACGGGGCCUUAGCACCCCAGCAAACGUAUUGCCAGUGGUAGAAGAGCCCCAGACCAAUGGACCUCAACCUACC
rnacentral:lncRNA from 1 species